AAAGCCUGAUCCAGCAAUGCCGCGUGGAUGAAGAAGGYCUUCGGAUUGUAAAGYCCUUUUGGYGGGGACGAUGAUGACGGUACCCGCAGAAUAAGCUCCGGCUAACUUCGUGCCAGCAGCCGCGGUAAUACKAAGGGGGCUAGCGUUGCUCGGAAUGACUGGGCGUAAAGGGCGCGUAGGCGGACGGCACAGUCAGGCGUGAAAUUCCUGGGCUCAACCUGGGGACUGCGUCUGAGACGUGUUGUCUUGAGUAUGGAAGAGGGUUGUGGAAUUUCCAGUGUARAGGUGAAAUUCGUAGAUAUUGGAAAGAACACCGGKGGCGAAGGCGGCAACCUGGUCCAUUACUGACGCUGAGGCGCGAAAGCGUGGGGAGCAAACAGGAUUAGAUACCCUGGUAGUCCACGCUGUAAACGAUGUGUGCUGGAUGUUGGGGUGCUUAGCACUUCAGUGUCCGUAGCUAACGCGGUAAGCACACCGCCUGGGGAGUACGGCCGCAAGGUUGAAACUCAA
rnacentral:rRNA from 1 species